rnacentral:rRNA from 1 species
GACGAACGCUGGCGGCGUGCUUAACACAUGCAAGUCGAACGCUGAACCCGCUUCGGUGGGGGAUGAGUGGCGAACGGGUGAGUAACACGUGGGCAACCUGCCCCCGGCUCUGGGAUAACUCCAAGAAAUUGGGGCUAAUACCGGAUGUGACCGCUGGCCGCAUGGUCUGGUGGUGGAAAGGGUUUCCGGCUGGGGAUGGGCCCGCGGCCUAUCAGCUUGUUGGUGGGGUAGUGGCCUACCAAGGCGACGACGGGUAGCCGGCCUGAGAGGGUGACCGGCCACACUGGGACUGAGACACGGCCCAGACUCCUACGGGAGGCAGCAGUGGGGAAUAUUGCGCAAUGGGCGGAAGCCUGACGCAGCGACGCCGCGUGGGGGAUGACGGUCUUCGGGUUGUAAACCUCUUUCAGCAGGGACGAAGCGCAAGUGACGGUACCUGCAGAAGAAGCACCGGCCAACUACGUG